rnacentral:ncRNA from 1 species
AGAAAAGCAACGAAAAGUAGGAGUAAAUAGCGAGAGGUAUUUAGCGAGUGUUCGUUUGGUGAAAGAACAUUGCCAGUAGUUAUUGAAAGUAGGCUUGGAGCUGUAAAUGCAACGAACGCUGAGUGUUUACUGGGUGCCCCCAUUACAGGGCCAACGAAUCUGACAAUUGUCAUGCUCGUCAAGACUGUUAUUUAGGUAACAGUAAAAUCAAGGUGGUACCGCGCAUAUGCGCCCUUCAA